AUUGAACGCUGGCGGCAGGCCUAACACAUGCAAGUCGAACGAGUGGCGGACGGGUGAGUAAUGUCUGGGAAACUGCCUGAUGGAGGGGGAUAACUACUGGAAACGGUAGCUAAUACCGCAUACCAUCAGAUGUGCCCAGAUGGGAUUAGCUAGUUGGUGGGGUAACGGCUCACCAAGUCGACGAUCCCUAGCUGGUCUGCGAGGAGGACCAGGCACACAGGAACUGAGACACGGGCCAAAGUCCUAGGCGAGGCAGCAGGGUGGAAUAUUGAGCAAUGGUCGCAAGCCUGGUACAGCGAUGCCGCGUGUAUGAAGAAGGCCUUUGGGUUGUAAAGUACUUUCAGCGAGGAGGCGUUACCCGCAGAAGAAGCACCGGCUAACUCCGUGCCAGCAGCCGCGGUAAUAC
rnacentral:rRNA from 1 species